UACGUAGGGGGCUAGCGUUGUCCGGAAUCAUUGGGCGUAAAGCGCGUGUAGGCGGUCCGGUAAGUCCGCUGUGAAAGUCGGGGGCUCAACCCUGGGAUGCCGGUGGAUACUGUCGAGCUCGAGUCCGGAAGAGGCGAGUGGAAUUCCUGGUGUAGCGGUGAAAUGCGCAGAUAUCAGGAGGAACACCAAUGGCGAAGGCAGCUCGCUGGGACGUGACUGACGCUGAGACGCGAAAGCGUGUGAGCGAACGGG
rnacentral:rRNA from 1 species